rnacentral:rRNA from 1 species
UACGUAGGUGGCAAGCGUUGUCCGGAUUUACUGGGCGUAAAGAGCGCGCAGGCGGUCGUUCAAGUCGCGUGUGAAAGCCCCCGGCUCAACUGGGGAGGGUCACGCGAUACUGAUCGACUCGAAGGCAGGAGAGGGUAGUGGAAUUCCCGGUGUAGUGGUGAAAUGCGUAGAUAUCGGGAGGAACACCAGUGGCGAAGGCGACUACCUGGCCUGUUCUUCGCGCUGAGGCGCGAAAGCUAGGGGAGCAAACGGG